ACGAGUUUACAACUCCCAAACCCAAUGUGAACGUUACCAAACUGUUGCCUUGGCGGGAUUUCUGCCCCGGGCGCGUCGCAGCCCCGGACCAAGGCGCCCGCCGGAGGACCAAUUUACAAACUCUUUGUAUGUCCCUCUGCGGAUUUUUAUUAUACAUUCUGAGCUUUCUCGGCGCUCCUAGCGAGCGUUUCGAAAAUGAAUCA
rnacentral:misc_RNA from 1 species